rnacentral:rRNA from 1 species
GAUGAACGCUGGCGGCGUGCAUAACACAUUCAAGUCGAGCGGUGAUUACCUUCGGGUAUGAUCAGUGGCGGACGGGUGAGUAACGCGUGAGCAACCUGCCCUUAUGUGGGGGACAACGUUUGGAAACGAACGCUAAUACCGCAUAACGUUAUCGGAUCGCAUGUUCCGGUAACCAAAGAUUUAUUGCGUAAGGAUGGGCUCGCGUUGGAUUAGGUAGUUGGUGAGGUAACGGCCCACCAAGCCUACGAUCCAUAGCCGGACUGAGAGGUUGAACGGCCACAUUGGAACUGAGAAACGGUCCAG